AAAGUUUGCUCAGGGCUCAGAUUGAACGCUGGCGGCAGGCCUAACACAUGCAAGUCGAGCGGCAGCGGGAAGUAGCUUGCUACUUUGCCGGCGAGCGGCGGACGGGUGAGUAAUGUCUGGGAAACUGCCUGAUGGAGGGGGAUAACUACUGGAAACGGUAGCUAAUACCGCAUGAUGUCGCAAGACCAAAGGGGGGGACCUUCGGGCCUCACGCCAUCGGAUGUGCCCAGAUGGGAUUAGCUAGUAGGUGGGGUAAUGGCUCACCUAGGCGACCAUCCCUAGCUGGUCUGAGAGGAUGACCAGCCACACUGGAACUGAGACACGGUCCAUACUCCUACGGGAGGCAGCAGUGGGGAAUAUUGCACAAUGGGCGCAAGCCUGAUGCACCCAUGCCGCGUGUGUGAAGAAGGCCUUAGGGUUGUAAAGCACUUUCAGCGAGGAGGAAGGCGUUGUAGUUAAUAGCUGCAACGAUUGACGUUACUCGCAGAAGAAGCACCGGCUAACUCCGUGCCAGCAGCCGCGGUAAUACGGAGGGUGCAAGCGUUAAUCGUAAUUACU
rnacentral:rRNA from 1 species